rnacentral:rRNA from 1 species
GACAGAGGGUGCAAACGUUGUUCGGAAUUACUGGGCGUAAAGCGCGUGUAGGCGGCAACACAAGUCGGAUGUGAAAUCCCGCGGCUUAACCGUGGAAGUGCACCCGAAACUGUGUCGCUAGAGUCCCGGAGAGGAUGGUGGAAUACUUGGUGUAGAGGUGAAAUUCGUAGAUAUCAAGUGGAACACCGGUGGCGAAGGCGGCCAUCUGGACGGUGACUGACGCUGAGACGCGAAAGCGUGGGUAGCAAACAGG